AGAGAGGUAGUUCAGUGGUACAGCAUCUUUUUUUACACACAGAAGGUCCCAGGCUCAAUCCCUGGUCUCUCCA